AACUCUCAACCCCCUCAUUUUGUAAUGAAAUGCAGCGUGGGCUUGGUUUAUGGCUGUUUGUCGGCGUAAAUGCCGGCUGAGCUGAAAUACACGAGCAACCCAGUUUAAAUACCUGACGGCUUGACUCGGCGUAAUAACUAUUUCGCUGAGGACGUCAAACCUUUAAAUCGUUAGUGGUGCUUCUAAUGCAUUAAUCAUUUAAGC
rnacentral:misc_RNA from 1 species